rnacentral:lncRNA from 1 species
GGCUGCACCCUCCUGUUCUGCUGCAUCAGAGAGGGUGAUAUAACCCAAGCUCACACUUGUAACUAAAGACCCUAGUGUGAUUGCAUCGGAGUCGGCUUCCUGGUGAUCUUUUGGGGUUCACGGACACCUUCUGGGACAGCAGCUCCUGUUCGGUUUGGCUUCCCUGUUACUUGGAUAAAACCCUGACCAGAAGCAACUUGGGGUUGGGUGUGGGGAGUGGCUGUUUUGUUUUGUUUUGUUUUGUUUUGUUUUGUUUUGUUUUUCUUCAUCUUACAGCUCCAAAUGGUAGUCAUCACUGAAGGAAGCCAAGACAGGAAUCUGGAGGCAGGACCUGAAGCAGAGGACCCUCAGCGGAGGUUCCUAUCCUGGCCACGCCCCAAACUGGAAUUCCCAAGGAUGCAUCACACUGAGCAGGACGGUUCACUCAGCCCCAAGCGUGGUCGCCCAUAAAACUUGACACGGACACGGUGCCCCUGGCAGGUUUUAUUUAUAAUCUGCCUGUGAUCUGCUUCGGGAAUACAAAACCAGAAGCACGCCAUUUAAGUCUUCAACGCUCAUUCCGUGGUCCUCAGAUCCUCAGAGGAGGCUCUGUGUCCGCACCGGAUCUGUCUCCUUUGAACCUACCUUUCUGGUCCCCAUUCAGUCCUGUGCAGUCCAGAGAACCUGGCAGCUCUUCUGCAGCCAGAUCUAUCUUUGAACUGCUGUAUCUCUUGUGGGUGAAAAUGUGGGGCUCUGCUUCAGAGCAAAAUUCAAAACAAUCCAGGCUCUGGCAGGCUUUCUUCUUUCCACUGGUGUUUGUACUUAGUGUUUAAUAAAUAUGGGGAGGGUCAAAAUAUGAUGUCAUUAGCACAAAUUUGAUUGAACAUAUCCGGGUUUUGUUUCUGGCCAGUGCUGGAAAGUGACUUGUGAUCGCAUGCUUCCUAAGUACGUGCUCACUAAGCUGCACCCCCCACUCCCUGUAUCAAAUUAAAAAAAAAUAAAAGUAAGGGCAUUGUGUUUGUAAA